rnacentral:lncRNA from 1 species
AUGAUCCGCCCACCUUGGCUUCUCAAAAGUGCUGAGAUUACAGGCGUGAGCCACCGCACCCGGCCCUGGACUUCCCUCUUUAUCCAGUCGGUACUCCUGGGCCUCCAGGUCCCCCUGACACCGGACACACAGGCCUCUCCCAGCCCAGAACGACUGUGCGCCCCAACCCCGACAGCCCAGGGGUGGAGUAAGAGGGAGGCUCGUGGAGAACCUGGUAACCCCUUCUCCCUCCAUCACUGACUGAGGC